AUACGGAGGGUGCAAGCGUUACUCGGAAUCACUGGGCGUAAAGGGCGCGUAGGCGGAUUGGAAAGUCAGAUGUGAAAUCCUACAGCUUAACUGUAGAACUGCAUUUGAAACUUCUAAUCUAGAGUAUGGGAGGGGGAGAUGGAAUUAGUGGUGUAGGGGUAAAAUCCGUAGAUAUCACUAGGAAUACCGAAAGCGAAGGCGAUCUCCUGGAACAUAACUGACGCUAAGGCGUGAAAGCGUGGGGAGCAAACGGGAUUAGAAACCCUAGUAGUCC
rnacentral:rRNA from 1 species